rnacentral:rRNA from 1 species
AACGAACGCUGGCGGCAGGCUUAACACAUGCAAGUCGAACGCACCUUUCGGGUUGAGUGGCAGACGGGUGAUUAACGCGUGGGAAUCUACCCUUCUCUACGGGAUAGCUCCGGGAAACUGGAAUUAAUACCGUAUACGUCCUGAUGGAGAAAGAUUUAUCGGGGAAGGAUGAGCCCGCGUUGGAUUAGCUAGUUGGUGGGGUAAAGGCCUACCAAGGCGACGAUCCAUAGCUGGUUUAAGAGGAUGAUCAGCAACAUUGGUACUGAGACACGGCCCAAACUCCUACGGGAGGCAGCAGUGGGGAAUAUUGGAAAAUGGGCGAAAGCCUGAUCCAGCCAUGCCGCGUGAGUGAUGAAGGCCCUAGGGUUGUAAAGCUCUUUCAGUGGGGACGAUAAUGACGGUACCCACAGAAGAAGCCCCGGCUAACUUCGUG